AGCGAACGCUGGCGGCAGGCCUAACACAUGCAAGUCGAACGAACCUUUCGGGGUUAGUGGCGGACGGGUGAGUAACACGUGGGAACGUGCCUUUAGGUUCGGAAUAACUCAGGGAAACUUGUGCUAAUACCGAAUGUGCCCUUCGGGGGAAAGAUUAAUCGCCUUUAGAGCGGCCCGCGUCUGAUUAGCUAGUUGGUUGAGGUAAUGGCUCACCAAGGCGACGAUCAGUAGCUGGUCUGAGAGGAUGAUCAGCCACAUUGGGACUGAGACACGGCCCAAACUCCUACGGAAGGCAGCAGUGGGGAAUCUAGCGCAAUGGGCGAAAGCCUGACGCAGCCAUGCCGCGUGAAUGAUGAAGGUAUUAGGAUUGUAAAAUUCUUUCACCGGGGACGAUAAUGACGGUACCCGGAGAAGAAGCCCCGGCUAACUUCGUG
rnacentral:rRNA from 1 species